GACUAUUGUUCAAAUUAAUCUUAUACAAUACUGUCUAGAUUUUAUCUCUUUAAUAUUUGAGAGAUAUUUACUCCACUCACAUUUCUUUCGAAAUGUAAGUAAUACAUUUCGUAAUAGAAUCAUUGAGAAUUUGAAUUUAUUAUAGAGUUAAUUUUAUUUUUUUUAAUUACAUGAGACUAUUACUCUGAUUAGUCUUAUAUAGCAUUAUUUAAAUUUUAUCAUCUAUAAUAUUAGAGAGAUGUUUGUUUCACUCACAUUUCAAAAGAAAGAAAACUGUCUUUACUCAAUUAUUUUUUAUAGUUGAGAAAAGAAAUAAGUACCCACAAUAAUUUAUGGGUGUUCGAACUACUAUCCUCGCAAUUAUUGAGUUAAUUUUAUGUUUGUUAGAAUUUAUUUAUUUUUUAAUUUUUCUUUACCUAACAAUGCCUGGCAAAAACGACUCAAAAUCAUUGUCUAUUAUCAAAUAUCAAAUCUAAUGCAUCACAGUAAAAUAAUUGAUGUAACAGUGAUACUGUUGGUCUUAUUACAGAAUCAUUGUUAUGCCAUUUGACAAAGAAUGAAUGGCUAGGUAAAUGGCCUCAGCCUAUUAUGUCUUAUUAUAGGAUUCACUAUUCUGCUAUUUAGCAAAACUGAAGUGACUAGACACCUCAUAUAUAUAGGACAUAUAAGUUUAAGCUAAAUUUAUGCAUAGUUAAUUGAUAGGAAGGAAAAUCAAGAUUUUAUUGUUGUACUAACUUGCAAUCUAAAAUUAGACAAUGAAAUUUAGUAUGUCUAUUGUAAGUUCCCAAUAAUGCUAUAUGCACUAAAAGAUUCAUUAUAUAGUAAAAUCUCUAUAAUUAAUACUUGAUAAAUUAAUAAU
rnacentral:lncRNA from 1 species